rnacentral:rRNA from 1 species
UACGUAGGGGGCAAGCGUUGUCCGGAUUUAUUGGGCGUAAAGCGCUCGCAGGUGGUUCGUUGCGUCGUGCGUGAAAGACCCCGGCUCAACUGGGGAGCGUCGUGCGAUACGGGCGGACUGGAGGCCAGUAGGGGGAUGCGGAAUUCCGGGUGUAGUGGUGGAAUGCGUAGAGAUCCAGAGGAACACCAGCGGCGAAGGCGGCAUCCUGGACUGGUCCUGACACUCAUGAGCGAAAGCGUGGGGAGCGAUCCGG